GAUCUGAGGAAUGAAUGAAAUGAAGAGACUUGCUCAGUCGCCCAGUCUGGCUCCCACUGGUGGGGUGUGUGUGUGGAGGUGGCAUUCCGUCCCCCCACCUGUCUCACGACCAGGAGGCAGCAGAGUCACCACCCAGGAGGAGGCAAGAUGGUAACAUCCCACUGGGAAAGGCCAAUCUGGGAAGGACAAGGAAUUCAAACCCCAAAAGGUUGUCACCUAAUUCAACCAUUUUCCAUGAGAAACACCACCAUAGACUGAGUUCUGAGAAAAAUAACCACCAUCCUGUACGGAAGGAGCUUGCAAGCCUGUUGGGAUGAACUUGGAUGCAGUGGACCAGAAAUGAACCACAGAAGGCUCAAUGGCCUCAUUUUACAGCGUUUCUCAAAUUGCAGGUUUCAACCCAAAAUUGCAUCCCUUGUAGGAAGAGUGACCGGAGGCUCUAGAACAGCCUGUGGGGUUCACCCUGGACACCCAAUACACCAGCUCCCAGCACCCGGCUCUCCAAGGUAGUGAAUUCUGCUGAAGGAGCAAAUGAGUUCCCUUUAUGAAACUGAAAUUUCUUUACCCGUUAUUUACCACUAAGUAGUCGGUCUGCUAACAAGUUUUGAAGAGAUAAUCAUCCGUGUCAAAAUAUUGUUUAUGUACACUCGUGUUCCUGGCAGCACUAUUCACAAAAGCCAAAAGAUGGAAGCAACCCGUGUCCACUGGCAAACGAGUGGAUAAACAAGUGUGGUCUGUAUGUACAGUGGAAUAUUAUUUAACCAGAAAAGGGAAAGACAUUCUGGCACAGGCUUCACCAGGAAGCAACCUUAAAGACACUGCGUUAGGUGAAAUAAGCCAAUCACAAAAGGACAAAGACCAUAUAAUUCUCCUUAACGUGAGACACCUAGAGUAGUCAAAUUCAUAGAGACAGAAAGUACAAAGGUGUUUACCAGGACUAGGGGGAGGGAAGAAUGGGGAUUAAUGUUUAAUUGGUACAGUUUCCAUUUGGGAAAGAUGAAGAAAGUUCUGGAGACAGAUGGCGAUGAUGGUUACACAGAAAUGUGAAUGUGCUUAAUGCCAGUGAGCUGCACACUUAAAAAUGGUUACGAUAGUAAGUCUUA